rnacentral:rRNA from 1 species
AAUACGUAGGGUGCAAGCGUUAAUCGGAAUUACUGGGCGUAAAGCGUGCGGAGGCGGUAAUGUAAGACAGUUGUGAAAUCCCCGGGCUCAACCUGGGAACUGCAUCUGUGACUGCAUUGCUGGAGUACGGCAGAGGGGGAUGGAAUUCCGCGUGUAGCAGUGAAAUGCGUAGAUAUGCGGAGGAACACCGAUGGCGAAGGCAAUCCCCUGGGCCUGUACUGACGCUCAUGCACGAAAGCGUGGGGAGCAAACAG